rnacentral:rRNA from 1 species
AGGGGGCAGCUAUACAUGCAAGUCGAGCGGACCGACGGGAGCUUGCUCCCUUAGGUCAGCGGCGGACGGGUGAGUAACACGUGGGUAACCUGCCUGUAAGACUGGGAUAACUCCGGGAAACCGGGGCUAAUACCGGAUGCUUGAUUGAACCGCAUGGUUCAAUCAUAAAAGGUGGCUUUUAGCUACCACUUACAGAUGGACCCGCGGCGCAUUAGCUAGUUGGUGAGGUAACGGCUCACCAAGGCGACGAUGCGUAGCCGACCUGAGAGGGUGAUCGGCCACACUGGGACUGAGACACGGCCCAGACUCCUACGGGAGGCAGCAGUAGGGAAUCUUCCGCAAUGGACGAAAGUCUGACGGAGCAACGCCGCGUGAGUGAUGAAGGUUUUCGGAUCGUAAAACUCUGUUGUUAGGGAAGAACAAGUACCGUUCGAAUAGGGCGGUACCUUGACGGUACCUAACCAGAAAGCCACGGCUAACUACGUGCCAGCAGCCGCGGUAAUACGUAGGUGGCAAGCGUUGUCCGGAAUUAUUGGGCGUAAAGCGCGCGCAGGCGGUUUCUUAAGUCUGAUGUGAAAGCCCCCGGCUCAACCGGGGAGGGUCAUUGGAAACUGGGGAACUUGAGUGCAGAAGAGGAGAGUGGAAUUCCACGUGUAGCGGUGAAAUGCGUAGAGAUGUGGAGGAACACCAGUGGCGAAGGCGACUCUCUGGUCUGUAACUGACGCUGAGGCGCGAAAGCGUGGGGAGCGAACAGGAUUAGAUACCCUGGUAGUCCACGCCGUAAACGAUGAGUGCUAAGUGUUAGAGGGUUUCCGCCCUUUAGUGCUGCAGCAAACGCAUUAAGCACUCCGCCUGGGGAGUACGGUCGCAAGACUGAAACUCAAAGGAAUUGACGGGGGCCCGCACAAGCGGUGGAGCAUGUGGUUUAAUUCGAAGCAACGCGAAGAACCUUACCAGGUCUUGACAUCCUCUGACACCCUAGAGAUAGGGCUUCCCCUUCGGGGGCAGAGUGACAGGGGGUGCAUGGAUGUCGUCAGCUCGUGUCGUGAGAUGUUGGGUUAAGUCCGCAACGAGCGCACCCUUGAUCUUAGUUGCCAGCAUCAGUGGCACUCUAAGGUGACUGCCGUGACAACCGAGAGGGGGAUGACCUCAAAUUCACUCAUGCCCUUUAUAGUGAGAAAC